rnacentral:rRNA from 1 species
CAAUAGCGUAUAUUAAAGUUGUUGCAGUUAAAAAGCUCGUAGUUGGAUUUCUGGUGGGAGCGAUCGGUCUGGCGCUUAGCGCAAGUACUUGCAUCGUCUCCGGCCAUCCUUGGGGAGAGUCUGUCUGGCAUUAGGUUGUCGGGCAGAGGAUCCUCAUCGUUUACUGUGAAAAAAUUAGAGUGUUCAAAGCAGGCUUAUGCCGUUGAAUAUAUUAGCAUGGAAUAACAAGAUAGGACUUUGGUACUAUUUUGUUGGUUUGCGCACCAAAGUAAUGAUUAAUAGGGACAGUUGGGGGUAUUCGUAUUCCGUUGUCAGAGGUGAAAUUCUUGGAUUUACGGAAGACGAACUACUGCGAAAGCAUUUACCAAGGAUGUUUNCAUUAA